CACCAUGGGAGUUGGGAGCGCCCGAAGCCGGUGAGGUAACCGAGAGGAGCCAGCCGUCGAAGGUGAGACCAAUGACUGGGGUGAAGUCGUAACAAGGUAGC
rnacentral:rRNA from 1 species